UUUCGCAAUGCCCGAAAGGGUGACGAAGCGACGCCGCGUGUGGGAAGAAGGCCUUCGGGUUGUAAACCACUGUCGGGAGUUAAGAAAGGUGUACGGGUAAAUAGUCCGUGCAUUUGACAAAAGCUCCGGAGGAAGCCACGGCUAACUCUGUGCCAGCAGCCGCGGUAAUACAGAGGUGGCAAGCGUUGUUCGGAAUUAUUGGGCGUAAAGAGCACGUAGGCGGCCCUGCAAGUCAGCUGUGAAAGCCUCCUGCUUAACGGGAGAAGUGCAGUUGAAACUACGGGGCUAGAGUGCGGAAGGGGAGAGUGGAACUUCUGGUGGAGCGGUGAAAUGCGUAGAUAUCAGAAGGAACACCGGCGGCGAAAGCGGCUCUCUGGUCCGUAACUGACGCUGAGGUGCGAAAGCCAGGGGAGCAAACGGGAUUAGAUACCCCGGUAGUCCUGGCCGUAAACGAUGGGCACUAAGUAGAGGGGUUUU
rnacentral:rRNA from 2 species